UGCUUACGUUUGCGCAUUCCUUGUAGGCC
rnacentral:sRNA from 1 species